rnacentral:lncRNA from 1 species
GCUCCCUCAACUUUUGCUCCUUUAUUCAAAAAGGUCCCUGAUUGUUAACUUUAACAUUAAAUAUCUCAAGUGGAACACAAACAAUGUUUGCCCUAGCAGAGCGUUCUCUCUGAGCAAAAGAUUAUCAACUUUUUCGAAAUCUUACGUGAAAUAUAGAAGGAGAAUGAAGAAUUCAUCUACAUAGUCAUACAGUGUCUUUAUUUAUUAUAGUAGGUAAUUAUGAUUACACCAUGAUAUUAUUGUUUUCCAUUUCUUAUAUGAGUUCAUGAUGGCAAACAUAGUUGCAUAAUAUAAUAAUACAUAUGAUCUUUUCAUUGAAAUCAACUGGGAACAACAUCUGGAUCUAUAUCGUACUCAAUAGUGCAUUGACAAGAUAAAUUAAUGCACUUCAGAGUUAGAUCAGUUGGACACAUAUCUGGUGGACAUUCAGGGGUAAAUAGGCAUGGAGGAGCAUCUGGGAGGCCUAACAAGAACAAAAUAAAUGUUAAUAUAGGUGAUGGAAUAUUAUAUAUAAGUUAAAUUAUAAAUUUGAAAAUGAUAUGAAACAUUACUCACUUCCAUUGGUUGUGACCAGAAAUAGGGAAACAAAGAUGAGCAAAGCAUAAAAGAAACUUAGGAUUCGAGCCAUAAUUUUUU